GACGAACCGAGCGAACGUUGUUCGGAAUCACUGGGCUUAAAGGGCGCGUAGGCGGGUGCUCAAGUCUGUGGUGAAAUCCCUCGGCUCAACCGGGGAACUGCGUCCGAUACUGGAUGGCUCGAGUUCGGGAGAGGGAUGCGGAAUUCCAGGUGUAGCGGUGAAAUGCGUAGAUAUCUGGAGGAACACCGGUGGCGAAAGCGGCUCUCU
rnacentral:rRNA from 1 species